UACGAAGGGGGCGAGCGUUGUUCGGAUUUACUGGGCGUAAAGGGCGCGCAGGCGGCUCCAAAAGUCAGGCGUGAAAGCCCCGGGCUUAACCUGGGAGGUGCGUCUGGGACUGUGGGGCUAGAGUUCGGGAGAGGAGCGUGGAAUUCCCAGUGUAGAGGUGAAAUUCGUAGAUAUUGGGAAGAACACCGGUGGCGAAGGCGGCGCUCUGGACCGAGACUGACGCUG
rnacentral:rRNA from 1 species